GCAGGCGAGGCUGCGCUCCGCACCGGCACCUCGCCCGCGGGCACCCCGCUGCCGGCAGCGGCCGCCCCGCCUGCCUGCCUCCCGCCCGCUCCUCGCCGCCGCUCCGCUUACCUGCCGCUGCCCCCGGGCUCCGCGGGCCGGCCGCGCCCGCCGGCCGCCGGCCCCUCGGCUCAUCGCAGUGGGCACAAAGGGGCGGCGGAGCAAGGCCGCGCCGGGAGCCCCGGGAAGAGCGGUGGUAAGAGUAGCGGUGAGGAGCAGUGACAGCCGCGGCGGCGGCGAGGAGGAGGAAAAUUAAAAACAAUACUUAAAAGAAAAAAGAGAGAGAGGGAACGACCACCCUAAUAACCCGCCGGGACCAUGCCGGGGAGGCACCCCAUUCUCAUGGACAUGGCUCCCCUGGUUUUCCAUGAGCACCUCUGGUCUAAGCUCUGAUACUGUUCAAUCUGAAGGGAAGAGAGCCAACAAAGAACAGCAGCCUUUUCCAGAAAUGCUCUCCCUGUGCAUCCUGUGAAAUGCUCGUCAUCUGCACAGUACUUGUGGGCAGGUGGUCAUUAAACCACGUACCAGAGCCGCAUAACAGCUCCUGGCUCCCAACAGUUCCAAGAAGACGUGGCAGGACUUACUUUGGCUGGGUGCUAGCAUGCAGAGCAAGAAGCUGCCCAGGAGAGAAAGCUAAUCCAGAAGAGAUGCAACAACAUGGGAAUGGACACACUUGCUCAGUCCAAGACCUCCGGGAAGAACAAGAGAAAUAAAGGUGCCCACUUUCCUUCCUGACAUCCGCCCCAGCGCGUUUCCUGAGCAUCAGGACUUGCCCCACCGGUGGCUGAUUCACCCUUCAGCACAGGAACCACCGAGAAGUUCUUUGUUCGAGGUGCGCACAUCAGAGCAAUCAAAGCAUCAGGAUCUGCCGGCUGGCCGCACAGUUAUUCCACCACAGCCUGGUGCAAUGGAAAAGAAAAAUAGCCCCAGAUCGGGCUGGGCAGUGGCAAAACGGUGCCAGCGACCGCUCCGCUCCUUGCAGCUCCCUGCAAAGGCUCCGCGGCAGCCGCGGCGAGCCGACAGCCUCGCAACCGAGGUUGCGGCGGACCUGGCCCGGCCGUGGGUGCCGGGGAACCCCGGGGGGGUCAGAGGGCCCCCCCGAGGCCCCGCGCCCAACCUGCGAGUUGUGCCCCGAUGGUGCUGCACCGCAGCGGCGCGGGCAGGGGCUGGGCGCGGAGGAGAGGAUCAAUUAGCGCCGCGUUAAUGAUCUCUCUGCCUUUGCACCGCUCUCCUUCAACCAGUCAUCGCCGCGGCCCCGCUCCGCGGGGUGACCGCGGGGGACCGGCCCGGCCUGGCCCACCUGCUGCUCCGCGCCGCCCCGCGCACCUGAGCGGCCUCGGCGGGAGCCUCCGCGGGGCCUGGAGCCGCUGGCACCGGGCAGCGGUGAGCGGCAGCCGGCUCUGCCUCCCCGCCGCGGCGGCUGGCGGGGGCUCCGGCCGCGGCGGCGCAGAGCAAACCUGGGCGGGUUUCCACUACCCCCCCCUCGGCAGCACCGAGAAAAGUACAAUAUUAUUUUAUUGUAUUUUUCUUUUUCUCUCUCUCUUUUUUUUCUUUUUUUUUUUUUUUUUUUUUACGCACACCCGAAGCGCUGGGACGAAAAGUGGGAUUUAAAUGUAAGCUUCGCGGUAGUCCCGGCACUAUCAAGCCACAUUCAUUUUUACAUCCUUCCCCAAAUCUUUUUGCCUUGCUGCAGUUUGCAUAAACAGCUUUACCAUGUAACUGCCGGGAAACAUAAAUACACGCAAAUAAAUAACAUCGCGGCAACCGGAGUGAACAGCCCUGGGCAAAGCGGACAGAGAGAGCAGAAAGUAAAGAGAUAUAUCCCAGAAUGUGUGGGUUUUUUAAUAUAUCUUUUUCUUCCCGGCGAGCAGGGCGAAGUAAUUUAACUAAAAUAUAGGUAUUUUUUUCCUCGUUUGAUGUGCGCUCGUGUAGCAGCAACGUCUUGAAGAACAAGACAAAGCAGACGGAUUCAGGCGCCGCUAAUUAAAAAGCAACGAAUACCGGCAUUUAAUAAACAUUUGGGUGGCCGGUUGCGCAGGAGGAGCCACCGGAGGGGCAGAAGUUUCCGAGUGCCGCGGAGCCAGCGCCGAAAUGGCUCCGCGCGGGGGGAAUUAGCGCGGUUCUCCUCGCCGGGCUGCGGAGCCGAGAGCGGAGCUGGCAGGGAGCCCUGCCCGCCGCCCGCUGCGCUCCCUGCCUGCGCACACCCUCCGCGGGGCGCCGCGGCAGCCGGCGGGAUAGCCGGGCUGACUUAUCCGCGGGGGAAAUCUUCCCCUCCCCUGCUACGCGGGUCUGCGCCGCUGCCCGCCCGACCGCACACCCUUUCUUUCCACCCGAGGCUCCCGCUCCUGUCCCUGCCGCGAGUGGCCGGCGGCAGCUACGCGCACUCCCGCGGCUCCUCGCUCCGCGGCGCGGGGCGGCGCGCAGCUGGUGACAGGCAGAAAGCCCCGACCUCCCAAAUCCUCCUCAAUCCAUCUUCAGGGGAUAACAGCGGACAGCCCGAACGGGUUUAA